rnacentral:rRNA from 1 species
UACGUAGGGUGCGAGCGUUAAUCGGAAUUACUGGGCGUAAAGCGUGCGCAGGCGGUUUCUUAAGUCAGAUGUGAAAGCCCCGGGCUUAACCUGGGAACUGCGUUUGAAACUGGGAGACUAGAGUGUGGCAGAGGGGGGUGGAAUUCCACGUGUAGCAGUGAAAUGCGUAGAUAUGUGGAGGAACACCGAUGGCGAAGGCAGCCCCCUGGGCUAACACUGACGCUCAUGCACGAAAGCGUGGGGAGCAAACAGG